GCUGAGGCUGAGCCUGGAUUCGGAUACGGACACAACAGGUACUACCGCCCCAGCUAUGGCCAUGGCGGUCAUUACAUCGGCAAGAGGAGUGCUGAGCCCGGAUUCGGAUACAGACACAACAGCUACUACCGCCCCAGCUAUGGCUAUGGGUACGGACGGUAAUGCUACAGCCCUUUCGACUGUCUUACGAACGUUCACGAAUACUCUAAAAUAAAGAGCGGCUCUUUAAA